CCUACGGGAGGCAGCAGUGGGGAAUAUUGCACAAUGGGGGAAACCCUGAUGCAGCCACGCCGCGUGAGUGAUGACGGCCUUCGGGUUGUAAAGCUCUUUCUUCAGGGACGAUAAUGACGGUACCUGAGGAGUAAGCCACGGCUAACUACGUGACAGCAGCCGCGGUAAUACGUAGGUGGCGAGCGUUGUCCGGAUUUACUGGGCGUAAAGGGAGCGUAGGCGGAGUUUUAAGUGAGUUGUGGAAUACUUGGGCUCAACUUGAGUGUUGCAUUUUAAACUGGAAGUCUAGAGUGCAGGAGAGGAGAGUGGAAUUCGUGGUGUAGCGGUGAAAUGCGUAGAGAUCAGGAAGAACAC
rnacentral:rRNA from 1 species